GAUGAAGAACGUAGCGAAAUGCGAUACGUAAUGUGAAUUCCAGAAUUCAGUGAAUCAUCGAAUCUUUGAACGCACAUUGCGCCUGCCAGCACUCUGGCAGGCAUGCCUGUUCGAGCGUCAUUUCAACCAUCAAGCCCUAGGCUUGCGUUGGAGCCCUGCGGCUGCCGCAGGCCCCUAAAAGCAGUGGCGGGCUCGCUAUCACACCGAGUGCAGUAGAUUACUCUUCGCUCAGGGCGUGUGGCGGGUUCCAGCCGUGAAACCCCCUACUUCUCAAGGUUGACCUCGGAUCAGGUAGGAAUACCCGCUGAACUUAAGCAUAUCAAUAAGCGGAGGA
rnacentral:misc_RNA from 1 species